AGGGAUCAUUGCUGGAACGCGCUUCGGCGCACCCAGAAACCCUUUGUGAACUUAUACCUAUUUGUUGCCUCGGCGUAGGCCGGCCUCUUCACUGAGGCCCCCUGGAAACAGGGAGCAGCCCGCCGGCGGCCAACUAAACUCUUGUUUCUAUAGUGAAUCUCUGAGUAAAAAACAUAAAUGAAUCAAAACUUUCAACAACGGAUCUCUUGGUUCUGGCAUCGAUGAAGAACGCAGCGAAAUGCGAUAAGUAAUGUGAAUUGCAGAAUUCAGUGAAUCAUCGAAUCUUUGAACGCACAUUGCGCCCUCUGGUAUUCCGGAGGGCAUGCCUGUUCGAGCGUCAUUUCAACCCUCAAGCCUGGCUUGGUGAUGGGGCACUGCCUGUAAAAGGGCAGGCCCUGAAAUCUAGUGGCGAGCUCGCCAGGACCCCGAGCGUAGUAGUUAUAUCUCGCUCUGGAAGGCCCUGGCGGUGCCCUGCCGUUAAACCCCCAACUUCUGAAAAUUUGACCUCGGAUCAGGUAGGAAUACCCGCUGAACUUAAGCAU
rnacentral:rRNA from 1 species